UACGUAGGGUGCAAGCGUUAAUCGGAAUUACUGGGCGUAAAGCGUGCGCAGGCGGUGAUGUAAGACAGUUGUGAAAUCCCCGGGCUCAACCUGGGAACUGCAUCUGUGACUGCAUCGCUGGAGUACGGUAGAGGGGAUGGAAUUCCGCGUGUAGCAGUGAAAUUCGUAGAUAUUCGGAAGAACACCAGUGGCGAAGGCGGACUCACUGGACCGGUAUUGACGCUGAGGUGCGGAAAGCGUGGGGAGCAAAGCAGGG
rnacentral:rRNA from 1 species